UUAUACAGUGAUUAGACAGCCCAGG
rnacentral:piRNA from 1 species